rnacentral:rRNA from 1 species
UACGUAGGUGGCAAGCGUUGUCCGGAUUUACUGGGCGUAAAGAGCGCGCAGGCGGUCGUUCAAGUCGAGUGUGAAAGCCCCCGGCUCAACUGGGGAGGGUCACUCGAUACUGAUCGACUCGAAGGCAGAAGAGGGAAGCGGAAUUCCCGGUGUAGUGGUGAAAUGCGUAGAUAUCGGGAGGAACACCAGUGGCGAAGGCGGCUUUCUGGUCUGCUCUUGACGCUGAGGCGCGAAAGCUAGGGUAGCGAACGGG